rnacentral:rRNA from 1 species
UGGGGAAUUUUGGACAAUGGGCGAAAGCCUGAUCCAGCAAUGCCGCGUGUGUGAAGAAGGCCUUCGGGUUGUAAAGCACUUUUGUCCGGAAAGAAAUCCUUGGCUCUAAUACAGUCGGGGGAUGACGGUACCGGAAGAAUAAGCACCGGCUAACUACGUGCCAGCAGCCGCGGUAAUACGUAGGGUGCAAGCGUUAAUCGGAAUUACUGGGCGUAAAGCGUGCGCAGGCGGUUUGCUAAGACCGAUGUGAAAUCCCCGGGCUCAACCUGGGAACUGCAUUGGUGACUGGCAGGCUAGAGUAUGGCAGAGGGGGGUAGAAUUCCACGCGUAGCAGUGAAAUGCGUAGAGAUGUGGAGGAAUACCGAUGGCGAAAGGCAGCCCCCUGGGCAAGUACUGACGCUCAUGCACGAAAGCGUGGGGAGCAAACAGGAUUAGAUACCCUGGUAGUCCACGCCCUAAAACGAUGUCAACUAGUUGUUGGGGAUUCAUUUCCUUAGUAACGUAGCUAACGCGUGAAGUUGACCGCCUGGGGAGUACGGUCGCAAGAUUAAAACUUAAAGGAAUUGACGGGGUCAUAGCUGUUUCCU